rnacentral:rRNA from 1 species
CCCUUAGAUGUCCUGGGCCGCACGCGUGCUACACUGAUGCAUCCAGCGAGUACUCCCAGCUCCGAGAGGCUGCUGGUAAUCAGCAAUAUGCAUCGUGAUGGGGAUAGAUCUUUGGAAUUAUAGAUCUUGAACGAGGAAUUCCUAGUAAUCGCAGGUCAUCACCCUGCGUUGACUAAGUCCCUGCCCUUUGUACACACCGCCCGUCGCUCCUACCGAUUUCGAGUGAUCCGGUGAAUCAUUCGGACCGCGGCCCCUAGGCAUGCGGAAAGUCUAGUAAACCAUAUCACUUAGAGGAAGGAGAAGUCGUAACA